UACAGAGGGUGCAAGCGUUAAUCGGAAUUACUGGGCGUAAAGCGUGCGUAGACGGUCAUGUAAGUCGGGUGUGAAAGCCCCGGGCUCAACCUGGGAAUUGCAUUCGAGACUGCAUGGCUAGGAUGCGGAAGAGGGAAGCGGAAUUUCCGGUGUAGCGGUGAAAUGCGUAGAUAUCGGAAGGAACACCUGAGGCGAAGGCGGGUUACUGGGCUGAUACUGACGCUGAAGCGCGAAAGCUAGGGGAGCGAACGGG
rnacentral:rRNA from 1 species